rnacentral:rRNA from 1 species
GACGAACCGUCCAAACGUUAUUCGGGAUUACUGGGCUUAAAGGGUGCGUAGGCGGCGCGGUAAGUUGGGUGUGAAAUCCCUCGGCUCAACCGAGGAAUUGCGCUCGAUACUGCCGUGCUCGAGGGAGACAGAGGUGAGCGGAACUUAGGGUGGAGCGGUGAAAUGCGUUGAUAUCCUAAGGAACACCAGUGGCGAAAGCGGCUCACUGGGUCUCUUCUGACGCUGAGGCACGAAAGCUAGGGGAGCGAACGGG